GGUGUGGCUGCUUUGAGUGAGAGGACGGUGCCAUUGCAGGCAAGACUCUACCACUGCGACAACGUUGGUUUGGUAAUGUAACCAUGGCGUAACCCCAGAUUCUCAGCAUUUAGGUGUAGUCGUCACUAUUUCAGUGUUUCUCCAGUUCACAAAAGUUAAUUGUGGCAUAUUGGUCACUUACAAAGUCUUAUUCAGCAUUUUGUUUAACUAAAAGACCCUUUAAGGAGUUGGAUUUCCAGUUUUUCCGAGCAGCCAAAGUGGAUACUUACCCUGCCGAGUCUCAUCAGAGUCAAGACACAGACAGAGGGAGAAGAAGAAACGGGAGACCACAAGGAGAGUCAAGUUCCUUCCCACAGCAGGCCUCUCGGGUCAGAGGCCUCUUGCAUGCCGGCUGUGGGAACCACAACACGCAUGCAUUACACGCACACGCAGCUGAGAACAUGGCUGAAUGUUUAGGACGCCACAUGUCCAUAAAAGGUGUCAUGGUCCAGUUUCCAGCCUGGAUCGCAGCUGUCCUUAGUGAGUCCGUUUCGACAGACACAUUCACAGGUGGACUCUUCUAAAACCCUGUUGGGCCCACAAAGAGCCAGCAGCCCCGAGUCCAGCGCCUCUGGAAGCCACAAAAAGACAGACAGGGCAAAAGCAGUUACCGGCAACUGUAAAAUAAAUCAUGGAGACGGACAGACACACUGAAGGAGAAGAAGAAGGAGAAGAGGAGACACCGGUUAGUUAAAGAGAGGCUGCCAACGACUGGGAGGGAGAAAGAGGUCACAUGAGAACAUUAGGACAACUUACCAAAGAAAUAAGGUAAGCUAUCUUUAAAUCUUUAAAUGUGGUUCUGUAUUUAUUUAUUUAAUUACA